GACGAACGCUGGCGGCGUGCCUAAUACAUGCAAGUCGAGCGGGCCUCCGGAGGUGCUUGCACCUCCGGAAGGCCAGCGGCGGACGGGUGAGUAACACGUGGGCAACCUGCCUUUGAGGCCGGGAUAACACCGGGAAACCGGUGCUAAUACCGGAUGCGUCCCCUUUCGCGCCUGCGAGAGGGGAGAAAGACGGUCUUUAAGGCCGUCGCUCCAAGCGGGGCCCGCGGCGCAUUAGCUGGGUGGUGGGGUAAGGGCCUACCAAGGCGACGAUGCGUUGCCGACCUGAGAGGGUGAUCGGCCACACUGGGACUGAGACACGGCCCAGACUCCUGCGGGAGGCAGCAGUAGGGAAUCAUCCGCAAUGGGCGAAAGCCUGACGGUGCAACGCCGCGUGAGUGAGGAAGGUUUUCGGAUCGUAAAGCUCUGUUGUGAGGGAAGAACAGCUUCCGGAGGAAAUGCCGGAGGUUUGCCGGUACCUCACCAGAAAGCCCCGGCUAACUACGUGCCAGCCGCCGCCGUAAUAC
rnacentral:rRNA from 1 species